rnacentral:rRNA from 1 species
CAGUCGCCGCGGGAAUACGUAGGGUCCGAGCGUCGUCCGGAAUUAUUGGGCGUAAAGGGCUCGUAGGCGGUUUGUCGCGUCGGGAGUGAAAACCAGCAGCUUAACUGCUGGCCUGCUUUCGAUACGGGCAGACUUGAGGCAUUCAGGGGAGAACGGAAUUCCUGGUGUAGCGGUGAAAUGCGCAGAUAUCAGGAGGAACACCGGUGGCGAAGGCGGUUCUCUGGGAAUGUUCUGACGCUGAGGAGCGAAAGUGUGGGGAGCGAACAGGAUUAGAUACCCCUGUAGUCCCUGUCUCUUAUAA